UUUGCAUUGUUCUCAUGAUGGAAUAUUGAGGUUGGCUGGUGUUCUAACCCCGAUUUAGAACUGCUUACUCAACUGAACGACAAUGUGCAUGUCAGCUUCCUCGAGGAAAUGGUACUGCUGAGCUACAAGAAGAACAUCGUGUUAAGCUUAGUGUAUUCCAACUGCAGGUUUGUUGAUUAUGAAGUUCAUUUCACAUGUCAAUAACAAUAUCUAGUAUAAAGAAGUCGACUAGAAAUUAAUAGAAAAAUAUCACAUGGCUUCCUACAUUGCUAGACUAUUGUUGAAUGAUAUUUUGUCUCAGUUUUCUGAAUGUGUGUGUCUGUUUAUAUGUAUACCACAUUACAACCCCAAAUGUAUUUCUUGUAUUUCAGUCAAAGGUUUUGAAAACCGAUACUCGAGAUUUCUCAAGCUGAUUUUCUCCCUAACUAUUAGUAUUUGAUCAUUUUUUCUCUGACAAUAAA
rnacentral:lncRNA from 10 species